GCCCCCGUAGCUCAAUUGGAUAGAGCAGGUCCGUCCUAAGGACAAGGUUGGCAGUUCGAGUCCGCCCGGGGGCG
rfam:Elusimicrobia bacterium RIFCSPHIGHO2_01_FTLL_64_10 rifcsphigho2_01_scaffold_5062, whole genome shotgun sequence.